rnacentral:rRNA from 1 species
UACGAAGGGUGCAAGCGUUACUCGGAAUUACUGGGCGUAAAGGGCUCGUAGGCGGCGUGUCGCGUCGGGGAGUGAAAGCCCGCUGCUUAACGGCGGGUUGGCUUCCGGUACGGGCAUCGCUGGAGUGCGGCAGGGGAGACUGGAAUUCCUGGUGUAGCGGUGAAAUGCGCAGAUAUCAGGAGGAACACCGGUGGCGAAGGCGGGUCUCUGGGCCGAUACUGACGCUGAGGAGCGAAAGCGUGGGGAGCGAACAGG